UCAUAUACAGGCAUUCAAGCAAUUUUAUCAAUUAAGCAUUUAGCUUCAUGGCAAACAUGCUAAACAUGGUAACAAUCACACACAUGCGAUAUGCUAAAGCGAAUAAAGGCUCACCUAGUACUCCAAACUAAAAAGAUGAUAGGGUUAGAAUAAUGUAUGAUCCCAACUAUGCAAUAUGACUAAUGCAACACACACGAUAUGCAAUUAUUAGGCUCGGCUACUAAUAUGGCGUAUUAAUCAAUUUGAUAGCAUGCGGUUUAAGCACAUUUUUCAAAGAAGUAUUUAAACGACAAUGCAAGUUAGAAUGAUGAACCGAGUCUCGGUGCAUGCAAUACAAGUGGAUGCAAACAUGAAGUACGCUUACAAAACAUGAUGCUUUUAAACUAACCAACAUAAGCAAGUAAAUAAAAAGGAGAAAGACGUGGGGUUGGAAGACAUACACGUUAUUACAACAUCGCACUCUUACAAAGGAGAGUUCGAAUGAAUAAACUAGCUAAGCUAAUUAUAUGUUGCAAAAGUUGUAAAUUAUAUGACGAUUUGCCCCGCCCCAUGUCAACCCAGUAUAAUUCAAGUUUCUUAGUAUAUUUCUUUUGUUUCUCUGUGUUGCAUGGUGGGUUUGAAUUUUGUUAUUUUUAUUUUUCAGAGUAAUGCUUGAUAUGUUGGAACAAAGUGUCACUAGUUUUUGUUUUCAAUGAUUAUCGUUGCAAGAAGGGCAAUUACAUGGAGGAUCAGCUAAGUGCAUUGCCAAAUGAAAUUAUCAUUGCCAUCUUGACAAUGAAAGAAGCAGCAAGAACUAGUGUGCUUUCCCUUAAAUGGAAAAAUUUGUGGAAGUUUUUCACGGGUAGUUUGAAUUUUGAUGCUUCCAAGACAAAGGCCAGCAUGAGACAAGAAAUAGAAACAAUGUCACUUGAAACUGAAAGGACUAAGUAUGUAAGUUGAGUAAACAAAGUCUUCAAUUUGGAUCAGGGCCAAAAUAUAGAAAAGUUUAGAGCGUGCUUUGAUUUGGAUAAGAAUUUUGCAUGUGCCAUUGAUAGAUGAAUUAACUUUGCGAAAGAAAAAAGAGUUCAAAAGCUUGAGUUCGACCUGAGAGGAUAUUUUGACUAUUCUCAGUUUGAGGAUUCAUGCACUUUUCCAUUAAGCCCAUUUGGUGUUCUAAGCUUUAAUACCUUGACUUCCCUCUGCUCGAAAUUGGUAGAUUUGACAGAAGACGUUCUUGCACAUUUCUUAUCUAAUUGUCCGUUGAUUGAAGAGUUGUCUUUGAUGCAUUCACGAUCUUUGGUUAAUCUAAAAAUAGAUGGUCCUCAGAAGUUGAAGUACUUGGAGCUUAGGUACUGUUUCAGUUUACAAAAUCUUGAGAUUUUGGCUACAAAUCUCAUAUCAUUUAAAUACCAUGGGCCAUACAUGAUCAACAAUCCUGUUAAGAAUGUUCCCCUGCUGUCUGAAGUAUCCAUUGGGGGUUGUUACUGUACGGAUUUAGUUUGUUUAACAUUUUACUGUUUCUCAGGUGUGCUCUCUCAGCUGGAGACACUUGUACUGGACCUGGAUUCUCUGGUUUCCCAGAGAAGUCACCUCAUCCCCAACAUAUUUCCAGAAUUUUGUAAUCUUAAGCGGUUGGAAUUGUAAGCUGUUGCAUAUGAAGACCAAAGCAUCCCAUUCCGCACUUCCUUGAUAGAUGCAUCUCCUUGCUUGUGUAAGUUUGUGGUGAAGGUGAAUCUUCUUAAUCAAAAUGGCUUUUCAUUUAAGAACACUUGGAUUAUUGUUUAUUUGGUCAAAUGAUGCAAAUUACAAUGUUUGUUGUGUUCAUAUUGAACAUGUUUUAGUUCCCAUUCAUUUGUGAUCAGCCUUGUAAUUUGACUAGGUAAUCACACAGUUAUUAUAUUAUAACUAGUGGUUGACCUAUGCAAUGCACGUGAUAAAAUUAAUAUUUUUAAUAAAUUUAUGAUAA